AGUGGCGGACGGGUGARUAACGCGUGAGAAUCUARCUUCAGGUCGGGGAUAACUACUGGAAACGGUGGCUAAUACCGGAUGUGCCGAAAGGUAAAAGGCUUGCUGCCUGAAGAUGARCUCGCGUCUGAUUAGCUAGUUGGUGUGGUAAGAGCGCACCAAGGCGUCSAUCAGUAGCUGGUCUGARAGGAUGAUCAGCCACACUGGGACUGARACACGGCCCARACUCCUACGGGAGGCAGCAGUGGGGAAUUUUCCGCAAUGGGCGAAAGCCUGACGGARCAAUACCGCGUGAGGGAGGAAGGCUCUUGGGUUGUAAACCUCUUUUCUCAAGGAAUAAAAAAAUGAAGGKACUUGAGGAAUAAGCAUCGGCUAACUCCGUGCCAGCAGCCGCGGUAAUACGGAGGAUGCAAGCGUUAUCCGGAAUGAUUGGGCGUAAAGCGUCCGCAGGKGGCGAUGUAAGUCUGCUGUUAAAGAGCAAAGCUUAACUUUGUAAAAGCAGUGGAAACUACAUAGCUAGAGUACGUUCGGGGCARARGGAAUUCCUGGUGUAGCGGUGAAAUGCGUARAGAUCAGGAAGAACACCGGUGGCGAARGCGCUCUGCUAGGCCGUAACUGACACUGAGGGACGAAAGCUAGGGGA
rnacentral:rRNA from 1 species